rnacentral:sRNA from 1 species
AUUUGGGUUAGGGAUAGAAGCGGUAUCCUUUUAUGAAGAGCAACGAAAUAAAAGAUAUAGCGGAUAGCCCGGCCGAAG